AGCAGCCGCGGUAAUUCCAGCUCCAAUAGCGUAUAUUAAAGUUGUUGCAGUUAAAAAGCUCGUAGUUGAAUUUCGGGGUCAGUAGGUUGGUCAUGCCACUGGUAUGUACUGGUCUCACUGAUUCCUCCUUCCUGAUGAGCCGUAAUGCCAUUAAUUUGGUGUUGCGAGGAAUCUGGACUGUUACUUUGAAAAAAAUUAGAGUGUUUAAAGCAGGCUAACGCUUGAAUACAUUAGCAUGGAAUAAUGAAAUAGGACGUUCGAUCUUAUUUUGUUGGUUUCUAAGAUUGACGUAAUGAUUAAUAGGGAUAGUUGGGGGCAUUAGUAUUCAAUUGUCAGAGGUGAAAUUCUUGGAUUUAUUGAAGACUAACUACUGCGAAAGCAUUUGCCAAGGAUGUUUUCAUUAAUCAAGAACGAAAGUUAGGGGAUCGAAGACGAUCAGAUACCGUCGUAGUCUUAACCAUAAACUAUGCCGACUAGGGAUCGGAUGAUGUUAAUUUUUUAAUGACUCA
rnacentral:rRNA from 1 species